UACAGAGGGUGCGAGCGUUAAUCGGAAUUACUGGGCGUAAAGCGUGCGUAGACGGUUAUUUAAGUCGGGUGUGAAAGCCCCGGGCUCAACCUGGGAAUUGCAUUCGAGACUGAAUAGCUAGGGUACGGUAGAGGGAAGUGGAAUUUCCGGUGUAGCGGUGAAAUGCGUAGAUAUCGGGAGGAACACCAGUGGCGAAGGCGACUACCUGGCCUGUUCUUGACGCUGAGGCGCGAAAGCUAGGGGAGCAAACGGG
rnacentral:rRNA from 1 species